UACGUAGGGUGCGAGCGUUGUCCGGAAUUAUUGGGCGUAAAGCGCACGUAGGCGGCAUUGCAAGUCCCAUGUGAAAGCCCACGGCUUAACCGUGGAAGUGCAUGGGAAACUGCAGUGCUUGAGUACUUAAGAGGAUCGCGGAAUUCCCGGUGUAGAGGUGAAAUUCGUAGAUAUCGGGAGGAACACCAGUGGCGAAGGCGGCGAUCUGGGAAGAUACUGACGCUGAGGUGCGAAAGCGUGGGGAGCAAACAGG
rnacentral:rRNA from 1 species